CGAGGCAGCCGGGCGGCCGCGUCGAUCGGCUCGGUGACGAGUCGGUCGCCGAGGAAAGUCCGGGCUCCGAAGGGCAGGGUGGUUGCUAACGGCAACCCGGCGUGAGCCGCGGGACAGUGCCACAGAAAGCAAACCGCCGUGGGCCGGCUUCGGCCGUAUCGCGGUAAGGGUGAAACGGUGGUGUAAGAGACCACCAGCGCCCCGGGUGACCGGGACGGCUCGGUAAACCCCACCCGGAGCAAGGUCAAGAAGCGCGCAGCGGCACCCCGGUGCCACCGCGCGUGCGCAGAUCGUUCGAGGGCGGCCCGCCCGAGGUCUGCGGGUAGACCGCUAGAGCCUGCCGGCGACGGCAGGUCGAGAUGGAUGGUCGCCGAACGGGAUCGCCGCAAGGCACCCGGGAACAGAACCCGGCUUACAGGCUGCCUCGCCCC
rnacentral:RNase_P_RNA from 3 species